rnacentral:lncRNA from 1 species
AUACUUAUUGGGCAGUUACAUUACCAUUCAUGUCUAUAUGUCCAUGAAUCAUUUAAGGAAUUAAUAAGAUGAUGACACAUAUUCUCAAAGAGUUGAGAAUUUGAGGUAUAUGUCAUUGAUGGUUGAUUCUUAAAUUACUCCUGAUCAUAGGAUUAUCAUGGAGAUGGUGAUUGAUCCAGAUAGACCAGUGCAUGGAUCGCUUCCUUCGAAUAGAUGGAU